UACGGAGGGUGCAAGCGUUAUCCGGAUUCACUGGGUUUAAAGGGUGCGUAGGCGGUAAAAUAAGUCAGUGGUGAAAGCCCGCGGCUCAACCGUGGAAUUGCCAUUGAAACUGCUUUACUUGAAUACAGUAGAAGUGGAUGGAAUACAUCAUGUAGCGGUGAAAUGCUUAGAUAUGAUGUAGAACACCAAUUGCGAAGGCAGUUCACUAAGCUGUCAUUGACGCUGAGGCACGAAAGCGUGGGGAGCGAACAGG
rnacentral:rRNA from 1 species